UCCUGUGCUUGCUCUCUUGUCUUCCUCAAUCCUUGUGGUAAAAAUUUCAUAUUGCUGUUUUCUUUGGGUAUCUGAAGUUACCUAUUUUUAAAGACUUAAAGACGUCUUGGAAAUCCAUCAGUAAAAGCCUCAAUAUCCAGGUUUUGUUUCUAUUAUGUUUCCUGGAAAAGAUACGUUAAACUGAAACCCCAUCUGCCUGAGUUGGUGUUGGCUCAUAUGUAGAACAUACCAGGGCACUUAUCAUUAAGUAUAUGGAAAUUUUUCUGGUGCUCCAGCCAAAUUUUCCACCUCAGGACUCUGUUGGAAAAAGGCACCGGAUCAACACAGUCAAAAAUUUGUGGUCCUGCAGUCUAUAUUUAUGUACAAAGGUGAUGAGGGACAAAGUCUCUGAGGCAGGAGAAUGGAGAAGGUUUAUCUUCC